rnacentral:rRNA from 1 species
UACGAAGGGGGCUAGCGUUGCUCGGAGUUACUGGGCGUAAAGGGCACGUAGGCGGGUCGUUUAGUUAGAGGUGAAAGCCCAGGGCUCAACCCUGGAAUUGCCUUUAAUACUGGCGGCCUUGAGUAUGGCAGAGGUGUGUGGAACUCCGAGUGUAGAGGUGAAAUUCGUAGAUAUUCGGAAGAACACCAGUGGCGAAGGCGACACACUGGGCCAUUACUGACGCUGAGGCGCGAAAGCGUGGGGAGCAAACAGG